rnacentral:rRNA from 1 species
UACGUAGGGGUGCGAGCGUUGUCCGGAAUUACUGGGCGUAAAGAGUUCGUAGGCGGUUUGUCGCGUCGUUCGUGAAAACUUGGGGCUUAACUCCAAGCGUGCGGGCGAUACGGGCAGACUUGAGUACUACAGGGGAGACUGGAAUUCCUGGUGUAGCGGUGAAAUGCGCAGAUAUCAGGAGGAACACCGGUGGCGAAGGCGGGUCUCUGGGCAGUAACUGACGCUGAGGAGCGAAAGCGUGGGGAGCGAACAGG